GCAAAGAUAAAAACGCAACGAGUAUCAUUCCGAUAUUCCAGAGCCGGUAGGUAGCCCGGCCGUCUUAUCGCUCGAUAAGGUAAGUAACCCUCCCCUCCGGGUCGUCCGUUCUUUGUCC
rnacentral:ncRNA from 1 species